GAGAAACAACUAAGACAAAAAGGAAAACAACGAAAGCAAGGCUUUGAACUCACAAGAAGAGGUGAUGGGCACUUGUCUGUUUUCCCUGAGCACAAAGCUUUACUUCCCAGGUGAAUCUUAUCCAUGGUUAAGUCCGAGCCGAAAGAGACAAGAGUGUAUUGCAAGUAAUUUUUCAUCUGAGCAAUUAAGAUCUAAAAAGAAGAAUUUCCACACAUGUUCUGAAUGUUAGUAAUGCUGCCCUGGAAUAUUACCUUGGAAACACCAUGCAAUUAUUAGCUAUGCUUAACAAUCUGGCUGGUGUAUUGGUUUGGGUUCCUUCAAAGUCAGACUUGGAAAGAGCAAUUUGGAUGUCAGUCAUUUAUGAGGAAGAGCUCCCAGGAAGCACUGUGGGGGUGACAACAAAGCUAAUGAAGACUAUCUUAUCCAGUGGGCAGCUGGUUGUCAGUGUUCUCUGAAGUCUAUAACAGAAUGUGUGGAAAACCUCAAGUGGUCCCAAAGAGGGAUGACUAAUGUACAUUCAAGUACCUCCCUCACUCUGUGACAGUUAUUUUAAAGGCCUGGGUUUUGUUUGUUUGUUUGUUUCUGUUUUUGUUUUUUAAUAGGUGAGAAUACUACUGAAUCCAGAGAACAAAAGAUUGUCUUUGUGUGACAUUUGGGAGUAGGUGAGGAGAUAGGAGACAGGUAUUAAUAGCACUUGACUCACUGGAUGUACACAAAACCUUUUCAUUAUGCAUCUAAGUCUUUCCUUCUAUCCCAUGAAAAAUAAACAAAAAAUGGGACGUUUUACAAUCAGUUGACAAAAUUAAACCUUUUUUUCCCCCCAAAUCAAUGCCAGUCCUUAAAUCAAUCUAGCUGGCUUAUUAAGGCACUUUUUGUCUACCAUAUUAUCGCCUUGUACAGCCACGUUUCAGUAUUUUUUUUUCCCCCAGAGGAAAAAGCACUAGAAAGGUCACUCUUAUAGUGUGAUGCCCAUUAUGGAAAGUGCUUUGAGACCUGCCUUUCACGGUACACAAACAGCACUGACUGAAUAGACAUAAAAAGCUCUUAAGCGUAUUGUCAAAGAACAGAGGUCCAUGCAGUCCGCCACUGUCAUUUCUAACACUAGAAUCAAUGUUUAUGUAGUAUUGGGGAGUACUUGUAAAUAAAUGGACAUUUUUUUUUCCCAAAUUUGUGUAGUCCCAUUGCUAUAGCCAAAAGAUGGGAAGAUUUGGACCUAACUAGGGAAAAAUCAUCUUUGUAGAUGCAGUAACCUGCUGGGUUGCUUGACCAUUGCCACAUCAAAACAUAUCUGAAACUUCCCUUUCCUUUUCAACUUCUGUUGUUAGGCACUGAAAGGAGGCAUAGGCUUCUCAGCAGUGUCCUCUGGGUUUGGACAGUAGCCAAGUUUAGUGAGAAAAAUCCCUCAUCGGCCAUUCGAGAGUCAUUCACGAGACUUUAAAUAGCACAGGAUUUUCUGAUUGGGCUCAUCACUUCGUUAUUUACAGAAAUUAAGAUGGGGUCAUGCAGAAGUAGAACAAAACCCCAGUUGCCUUUGCUCUCAGAGUCAUUUCUGGGCAAAAAUCCAGACUUCUACCAUCUGUGGUUUCUUAGCAAUAUGUAAAAUAAAAGGUAUGAUUAUUAAUUGAGCUUGAGUGAGCAGUCCACCAGAGCCAUGCAUUCUGAUAACCCCUGCCAGGCUACUUGGCUUCCUUUUUUCAUCUCUGAUGAAGCAGGCUGAACUGUUCAACCAUUUCUGAAUAUACAAUUGCUCCUCCUCCAGAAAUCCCAGUGAUGGCUCUAAACUCACCAUGCAGCACAGAAUCUUACUGCAGUGGAAUUUGUCACAAUUAUCAGGUGUUUUUUGUUUGUUUGUAAUUUUACAUACAGGUAACUUAGACUUGAGCAUCUCAAGAGCAGAAAACAUGAACAUACUGUUCAUGUUACACUCUGUACUCAGUUAACAUUAGGAAUGUUUUACAGUAAUUGAUUUGAUCUCUAGCCAUUAAGAGGGACACAAUUAGUAGAUAAAUAAAACAUGAUCCAUUCUUAGGAAACAACGUAAGACCUAAACUGAUUUUUUUCUCCACUGUACUCUGUGUACAUAAAUAAUUUUUUUUUUUUUUUUACUGUACCUGCAGCACUUGGAAAUUCCCCAGCCAGGGAUCAAACCCAAGUUGCUGCAGUAACAACACAGGAUACUUAAUCUGUGUUACAAGGGAGCUCCCUGAACAUAAAUAAUUCCCUGAACAAAAAUAAUCCUUCUUUUUGAAUGAUUUAUUUUAAAAAUGAAAGGUUAAAGUUUUUUUAUUUUAAUGCCAACCCCUAUUUUAUACUUCUUCAUGAUGUAUUUUUUAUUGAGAUCUUUCUGAAUUUGUGUUUUCUUUUUAUUUUUCAAAUUCUUCAUAAGACUUGUACCUACAAUGCGUUCUUUUUCUGUAAGAGGUUAAGAGAGCUAAGUUUAGUCAUUAAAGAAAACUUCAUUAUAGCCAAGAUUUUGAAAUGAGAUAAAACCAGAAUCUUGUGAAUAUUGUUGUCAGCCAUAUAUAUGAAUAGUGUUAGUAUAAUACUAUUAUAUGUAGUAUAUAAUAGGAUUCUAUUAAUUUUCCUUAGCAUCUUGACCCACAAAUAUGUUUUUUAAACUUUUAUCUAUGCUUAUAAAUAGACUGUAAAUUGCUUUUUGGAAGGAGUUCUCUUACCUUGUACUUACCGCAUAGCUACUCUUCCCCUUUCCUCAUCUUCCUGUGUCUUGAAUUUGCCCAAGUCCCUUCAUGUUCUUGUCUUGGUAUCAUCUCUGGCCCAGGGUUCCCUUUUGUAAAGCUGCUGCUAGGACCUCUUGCAGAGCUCUGAAUACACCUUGCCUUGUUUUAUUUUUUUCUGCUGGGAUUCUCGCUCUGUCUAAAAUGCCCUUUGCCCAUCAUUGCAUCAUCAUGAUAAGUCUCAUCUUAAACAAUUCUUCUUUGAGGUCCUCCUCGACUCUCCCAAGUAAGUUAAAUUGAUUCACCAUACACUUCCUUAGUACUGUGUUCCUCUCCUUCACUUUUGGUCUUCAGUACUUCAAGUGUUGAUAAUAAGAUCUUUGUUGUUUGUCUUUUUCCUACUACAUGUAAGUUUCACAAGGCGAGUGUCAUGCCUCUUGUUAUUUAUUAAUAAAUCUGGAGUGUCUAUAAAAAUUCUCUUGGAUAUCAUAGGUGCUGAAUAAAAUUCAUGGAUAUUUAUUGUAUAAGUUCAAUUGACAAUAGGAGGAGUUUUAUCCUAGGAGAAGACUGAUGGACAGUGCAAACACUGAGGAAAAAAACUCUCUCAUACCUGCAGUGUAGUGUAAUAUGAGUAUGCACACACUCAUUUGUGGGUAUUCAUGCAGACAAAUGGAACCCCAAACACACACACACAUCUUCCUUCAAUGUCUGGCUGUGAGUUGUAUUUGAUCACUCUUUUGGCUAUCCAGUAAGAUGUGGAAGUGGGCUGAGUGAGUGUGGUGUUUCUUAGUAGAGAGGAGGCUAAAAAUAAUCUACUUUCAUACAAUUACGGUUAAAAUACAUGGUAUAAGUUGUUUCCCAGAUUCUUUAGAGCCCGUCUGUCAGAUAUAGUUUUAAAUUCAAGUCAUUUUAACAUAAAACAUAAUUUGAGUGUUUCGUGGAGGUUUACACAUUUGGAGAUGCCUGAAUUCUGUGUUCUUAAAAAAUAUUUUCAGCGUUUUCUAAUGACCUCUAAAUUUUGAAGGUCUUAUUUUCUAUCAGACAUUUUUUUCAGACAUUUUAGAAUUCUUUGAAUGUUGGAGUUUAAUGAAGUAAAUGGGAUUUUCUUUUUUUUCUAAUUACUACCAUUAUUCAUUAUUCAAUAUAAUUAUUGUUUAAAAAUCUAUUUCUUUCAUACUAUCGAAGGAGAGCAUGUGAAAGGAUUGAUGUGAAUAAAGGAAAGUGGAUGACUUUUGUGUAAUUGUAGGAUUUGAAAUCAUGAGAAAUAAAGUUAUAAAAAAAGGCGUAACUGAUUAAAUUGACAAACAUUAUCAAAAAUAUGUUUGGAAACUAUUUAAAGAAGCUUAAUUGCUCUAAAAUAUAAACUGCUCCCAGAGAGUAAAUUAAAUGCUUCUACAACUGCACUAACUCUUUGAGAUAACAUAGAAUGCACUGGAGCAGUUAUUUAUCAGUGUCCCUCUAGUAUUAAAAAAUGACUUUUAUGCAUUUCCUCAAAAUGUGUUUCAAAAUCAGAUCCCAACAACAGCAUCUUUGUGUGUAAGUUUUCCUCAGGCAUUUAGUAAUGGGCAAAACAUCUUAAAGAUUUUUAAAAUGAUAGGAUACUAAAUUUUCCAUUUUUACUAAUUUAUCUGGACAAAUUGUUCCUAUAGUGCAAACUGGUAUUAAAUCAUUUUCUUUCAUCUUUUUGUUGUCACAUAUAUUUAAAGGAUAGAUGAUACAGUCAAUCGUCCUAGUCCCAAAUAUUUAUUUUCUCAAAUUCUAGAAGCUGGUAGAUCUUCCAGUGAGGCUUCUCUUCCUGGCCUGCAGAUAGCUUCCUUCUUGCCGGCUCCUUAUAUGGCCUCUUUCCUAUGUGUGAGGGAGAGCUCUCUGGUGCCUCUUCCUCUUUCCAUCUGGCCACUAGUCCUAUUAGAUUAGGGCCCCCCACCCUUAUACCCUCAUUUAACUUUAAUUAUCUCCUGAGAAGUCCUCUCCAAGUACAGUCACCUUGGGAAGUUAGACAUUCAACAUAUAAUUUGGGGGCUGCGGCAUAGUUCAGUCUAUAACAGUC
rnacentral:lncRNA from 1 species